AACGAACGCUGGCGGCAGGCCUCAUACAUGCAAGUCUAACGGGUGUAGCAAUACAUCAGUGGCGCACGGGAGAGUGACGCGUGGGAAUAUGCCCUUGACUACGGAACAACCUCGGGAAACUGAGGCUAAUACCGUAUAAUGUCUCCGGACCAAAGAUUUAUCGGUCAAGGAUUAGCCCGCGUCUGAUAGGUAGUUGGUGGGGUAACGGCUCACCAAGCCUACGAUCAGUAGCUCGUCUGAGAGGAUGAUGAGCCACACGGGGACUGAGACACGGCCCAGACUCCUGCGGGAGGCAGCAGUAAGGAAUAUUAGACAAUGGGAGAAACCCUGAUCCAGCCAUGCCGCGUGAGUGAAGAAGGCCUUCGGGUUGUAAAGCUCUUUUACCCCUGACGAUAAUGACGGUAAGGGGAGAAAAAGCCGCGGCUAACUUCGUGCCAGCCGCCGCAGUAA
rnacentral:rRNA from 1 species